UACGUAGGGGGCUAGCGUUGUCCGGAAUCAUUGGGCGUAAAGAGCGUGUAGGCGGCCCGGUAAGUCCGCUGUAAAAGUCAAAGGCUCAACCUUUGAAUGUCAGUGGAUACUGCCGGGCUAGAGUCCGGAAGAGGAGAGUGGAAUUCCUGGUGUAGCGGUGAAAUGCGCAGAUAUCAGGAAGAACACCCAGUGGCGAAGGCGGUCUCUGGACGGUACUGACGCUGAGACGCGAAAGCGUGGGGAGCAAACAGG
rnacentral:rRNA from 1 species